AGCGAGGUAGCUCAGUUGGUAGAGCAGCAAUUUUGAAUAAGUGGUCAUGUGUCGUGGCCAUAGCAGCAAUCAUUCAAGCACCCGUUGUUUGUCGGUGGUUCGAUUCCACCCCUCGCUA
rfam:Clostridiales sp. SS3/4 draft genome.